AUAAAAUGUGUUAGAGUAAGUUCUUAACUUUGACAUCCCUUGUUUUCACAAAAUGCUUUUAUUUUGAAAUUGUGUCCAGUACAGUUAUUUGUUAAAAGAAUUUCCUUGCAUGGUGCUACAGUGAACUGAAGAAGUCGCUAGCUGCAGGUGUAUCAGAGUCUCUCCUCCUCCUCGCACUCAAAGAUGGCCAAAGACCUGCAGGAUAGACUCCCUCCUCGGACCGACUCACCGGCUGGUCCGGACACGGGAACACCAAACGCUCAGCAGAAUGCUGCCGAACCAGCUGACAAGCAAAGCGAGGAGGUCACACAGCAGCCGCACAAAGCUGAGAGCCAAUCAUCUGCGAGCAACACCCCAUCCAAUCAGGACACAGAAAUUACGGGGGUCUGUCCACCCCUCAACCCUUUCAUGGUGCCUCUGGAACUGUUGAAACGCAGAGUAGUUCAGCCCCUAAAUGAAUAAAUGUGCAAUAUGCUUGCAGAGCCAGGGAUGAACCUGGACACAAACCACAAACAAAAGUAAAGUUUGGUCGGAUUCAUCGUCUUGUUUUUUAUUUCUAUAGUUUCUUAUUUAAGUCAGAAUUAUUUCACUCAGUGUCUGUUCCCUUUCCUGUUUUUAUUUUGACAUGAAUAAACACUGAACCAAAGAGAA